rnacentral:rRNA from 1 species
UACGUAGGGCGCAAGCGUUAUCCGGAAUUAUUGGGCGUAAAGAGCUCGUAGGCGGUUUGUCGCGUCUGCUGUGAAAACCCGAGGCUCAACCUCGGGCCUGCAGUGGGUACGGGCAGACUAGAGUGCGGUAGGGGAGAUUGGAAUUCCUGGUGUAGCGGUGGAAUGCGCAGAUAUCAGGAGGAACACCGAUGGCGAAGGCAGAUCUCUGGGGCCGUAACUGACGCUGAGGAGCGAAAGCAUGGGGGAGCGAACAGG